rnacentral:misc_RNA from 1 species
GUGAAUCAUCGAAUUUUUGAACGCAAAUUGCACUUUCUGGUAUUCCGGAAAGUAUGCCUGUUUGAGGGUCAUUUAAAUAAAAAUCGGUGUUGUUCCUGCCUUUCUUGUUGACGCGCCGGAAUUGGGUCGUCUUCCCUUCGUUUAGGUGACUUAAAAUUUUUGCUUGAUUUUCGAACGUAUUUAAAUCCCUUACGUACGUUUAGGUUUU